GCGAUGUACAUUCUCCUUAGGCCGACUUGAUAUCAUGUAAUGAUAGGAUGUACACGUAACGAUAAUAUAUGUAAAAUAAGAUCGUUGCAACGUCAUGGGUUUUUAUGCCUUAGGCUUUUCCCAUAUGAGCUAAUAAAUGAUAUUACGAUUCGACAGCUCGAAUCAUUAUGGUUGCUGCGCCAAAAGGGCCAAAGACUGAGUCUCUGCCUCUUUCAAAACUCUCAACAAGUUUCCACCAGCAAGCUUCUUUAUGUCAGCUGCUGACCAUCGCCUAUCUCUGGUCAACUCCGCCAGUAGCAAAGGGUAGCCAGAGACGUCUGGCAACUCCGCCGGAGGGCUGUAAAAACUUCAAUAUAUAGACUAAUCUUGCAUCGUUGUCAUAACUUUGAAUUCAUCAUGAAGUGUACCUAAUAAUUCCAUCGUAUCCAGCUCCGAGUCCAACGUGAUUGACUCCCGCGGUUUUUCUGAUGUGAGUGAUAUGUGCUGAAAUGGAAGUAAAUCGUCAGAUUACUCCAUCCGCACAAUAUCGAUUAAUCGCAAAUUAGACAAAAGUCUACUUGUCAUCUGUUGCAGACUCGCCAAUCCUGCAACAAGUGAAGAACUUAAAGCUCACCGAUUACGUCGUGCAUUGAAGCGGAGCUGCUGCAGCUUAGAUGGGCACUGUCGAAGCUCACCAUCACUAAUCCUCCGUUAAUGGGCUAAAAAUAAAAAUUGAAGCAUAAUCUGUAUUUGCGUUGCCAUGCUUUGCAAUUGGAGCGAAUCGCCAAGGCGAUGCGUUAAAGUCAUGUAUCGAGCACCCAAGAGAUGAAAACUGCGUAAAACUGCCAGUGAGGAGCCAAUGCUGUGGCCGCCUUCCAGACCAACGAGACUGGCAAUCAUGCCAUCUCUGUGAGCUCCCUCAAGCUCUGCACUCGAAGUUACCAGACGCAUACCCGUUGGAUGUUUUGAUGUUAAUCUUCUGACAAGAUCGAUCUGUUCUAACGUCAGUUGAACGGCAUCCAGAAACUGAGCCUCGCAAGGAACG